rnacentral:rRNA from 1 species
UACGUAGGGUGCGAGCGUUAAUCGGAAUUACUGGGCGUAAAGCGUGCGCAGGCGGUUUUGUAAGUCAGAUGUGAAAUCCCCGGGCUCAACCUGGGAACUGCAUUUGGGACUGCAAGGCUUGAGUACGGCAGAGGGGGGUAGAAUUCCUGGUGUAGCAGUGAAAUGCGUAGAUAUCAGGAGGAAUACCGAUGGCGAAGGCAGCUCGCUGGGACGGUACUGACGCUGAGACGCGAAAGCGUGGGGAGCAAACAGG